CCUACGGGCGGCAGCAGUGGGGAAUAUUGGACAAUGGGCGAAAGCCUGAUCCAGCCAUGCCGCGUGUGUGAAGAAGGCCUUCGGGUUGUAAAGCACUUUCAGUGGGGAAGAAAGCCUUGGGGCUAAUACCCUCGAGGAAGGACAUCACCUACAGAAGAAGCACCGGCUAACUCCGUGCCAGCAGCCGCGGUAAUACGGAGGGUGCGAGCGUUAAUCGGAAUUACUGGGCGUAAAGCGCGCGUAGGCGGUCUGAUAAGCCGGUUGUGAAAGCCCCGGGCUCAACCUGGGAACGGCAUCCGGAACUGUCAGGCUAGAGUGCAGGAGAGGAAGGUAGAAUUCCCGGUGUAGCGGUGAAAUGCGUAGAGAUCGGGAGGAAUACCAGUGGCGAAGGCGGCCUUCUGGACUGACACUGACGCUGAGGUGCGAAAGCGUGGGUAGCAAACAGGAUUAGAUACCCGUAGUC
rnacentral:rRNA from 1 species